rnacentral:rRNA from 1 species
CCAUGCCGCGUGAGUGAUGAAGGCCUUAGGGUUGUAAAGCUCUUUCAGCUGGGAAGAUAAUGACGGUACCAGCAGAAGAAGCCCCGGCUAACUCCGUGCCAGCAGCCGCGGUAAUACGGAGGGGGCUAGCGUUGUUCGGAAUUACUGGGCGUAAAGCGCACGUAGGCGGACUGGAAAGUCAGAGGUGAAAUCCCAGGGCUCAACCUUGGAACUGCCUUUGAAACUAUCAGUCUGGAGUUCGAGAGAGGUGAGUGGAAUUCCGAGUGUAGAGGUGAAAUUCGUAGAUAUUCGGAGGAACACCAGUGGCGAAGGCGGCUCACUGGCUUCGAUACUGACGCUGAGGUGCGAAAGCGUGGGGAGCAAACAGGAUUAG